GGCUCCGGAGUGUUACAUGCAGGAUUGCAACCCCUGAGAAGCAGAGAGAAGUUCUGCCGGGGCUU
rnacentral:tRNA from 1 species